rnacentral:rRNA from 1 species
UCGGCAGAGAUGCCUUAGUGCCUUCGGGAACCGUGAGACAGGUGCUGCAUGGCUGUCGUCAGCUCGUGUUGUGAAAUGUUGGGUUAAGUCCCGCAACGAGCGCAACCCUUAUCCUUUGUUGCCAGCGGUUCGGCCGGGAACUCAAAGGAGACUGCCAGUGAUAAACUGGAGGAAGGUGGGGAUGACGUCAAGUCAUCAUGGCCCUUACGACCAGGGCUACACACGUGCUACAAUGGCGCAUACAAAGAGAAGCGACCUCGCGAGAGCAAGCGGACCUCAUAAAGUGCGUCGUAGUCCGGAUUGGAGUCUGCAACUCGACUCCAUGAAGUCGGAAUCGCUAGUAAUCGUGGAUCAGAAUGCCACGGUGAAUACGUUCCCGGGUCUUGUACACACCGA